CGUUCCCGGGCCUUGUACACACCGCCCGUCACACCACGAAAGUCGGCUGUACCAGAAGUGCGUGGGCUAACCCUCUUGGGGGGCAGCGUACCAAGGUGGGGUCGGUAAUUGGGGUG
rnacentral:rRNA from 1 species